rnacentral:rRNA from 1 species
CAAGGAUUCCCUAGUAACGGCGAGUGAAGCGGGAAGAGCUCAAAUUUGUAAUCUGGCACCUUCGGUGUCCGAGUUGUAAUCUCGAGAAGUGUUUUCCGCGCCGGACCGCAUACAAGUCUGUUGGAAUACAGCGUCAUAGUGGUGAGAACCCCGUAACUGAUGCGGAUGCCCGGUGCUUUGUGAUACACUUUCGAAGAGUCGAGUUGUUUGGGAAUGCAGCUCAAAUUGGGUGGUAAAUUCCAUCUAAAGCUAAAUAUUGGCGAGAGACCGAUAGCGAACAAGUACCGUGAGGGAAAGAUGAAAAGCACUUUGGAAAGAGAGUUAACAGUACGUGAAAUUGUUGGAAGGGAAACGCUUGAAGUCAGACUUGCUAUUUGGAAUUCAGCCGCAAGGUGUACUUUUCAAUUCGCAGGCCAGCAUCAGUUUUCGGGGGUGGAAAAGGGUAGAGAGAAGGUAGCAAUUUCGGUUGUGUUAUAGCUCUUUGCUGGAUUCAUCCUUGGGGACUGAGGAACGCAGCACGCUUUUUGCAAGGCUUUCGAGCUUUUCGUGCUUAGGAUGCUGGUGGAAUGGCU